rnacentral:rRNA from 1 species
GAAUUCAUAGUGUAGCGGUGGAAUGCGUAGAUAUAUGAAGAAUACCAGUGGCGAAGGCGGCCUCCUGGAUCUGUACUGACACUGAGGUGCGAAAGCGUGGGUAGCGAACAGGAUUAGAUACCCUGGUAGUCACGCCGUAAACGAUGACAACUAGCUGUUGGGAGACAAUGUCUUUCAGUGGCGCAGCUAACGUUUUAAGUUGUCCGCCUGGGGAGUACGGCCGCAAGGCUAAAACUCAAAUGAAUUGACGGGGACCCGCACAAGCGGUGGAGCAUGUGGUUUAAUUCGAUGCAACGCGAAAAACCUUACCUACUCUUGACAUAUUUGGAAGCUCUUGUAAUGAGAGUGUGCCUUUUGGAACCAAGAUACAGGUGCUGCAUGGCUGACGUCAGCUCGUGUCGUGAGAUGUUCCGUUAAGUCGGAUAACGAGCGCAACCCUUACCCUUAUUUGCCAGCGAUUCGGUCGGGAACUAUAAGGGGACUGCCGGUGAUAAACCGGAGGAAGGUGAGGACGACGUCAAGUCAUCAUGGCCCUUACGAGUAGGGCUACACACGUGCUACAAUGGGGAAUACAGGCGGACGCUAAGCCGCAAGGUGGUGCUAAUCCUAGAAAGUUUCUCGUAGUCCGGAUUGGAGUCUGCAACUCGACUCCAUGAAGUCGGAAUCGCUAGUAAUCGCGGAUCAGCAUGCCGCGGUGAAUACGUUCUCGGGUCUUGUACACACCGCCCGUCACACCAUGGAAGUGGAUUGCACCAGAAGUAGAUAGUCUAACCUUCGGGAGGGCGUUUACCACGGUGUGCUUCAUGACUGGGGUGAAGUCGUAACAAGGUAACCGUA